GAAAGUUACUCAGACAAGCAUUAACCUUUUAAAGUCUGGUAUAACUAGCUGCCUUAAAAACGCUGGGAUUGACUUAAACAACCUACCAGAGGUGAAUGAGUUAUUUGAUGAAGACAACCCAAUCUCAAAUCCUUUUGCUGGUAUUGACCAAGAGUUUCUCCAAUAUGAAUACUACAAGGAGUUUAAUCUUGUGGAACCACAAAAGAUUGUUCUUGGAAAAUACCACACUAAGAAAGGAAGGGGAAAUAGAUUGAGAGAUCUCAAAAAAACAGAUGAUGCAUACUAUAUUACCUUGUUGGAAAGUCUUCAACAGCUUCUUAAUGAUGAGUCAAUUCAUAAUGA